AAAUUGAAGAGUUUGAUCAUGGCUCAGAUUGAACGCUGGCGGCAGGCCUAACACAUGCAAGUCGAACGGUAACAGGAAGCAGCUUGCUGCUUCGCUGACGAGUGGCGGACGGGUGAGUAAUGUCUGGGAAACUGCCUGAUGGAGGGGGAUAACUACUGGAAACGGUGGCUAAUACCGCAUAACGUCGCAAGACCAAAGAGGGGGACCUUCGGGCCUCUUGCCAUCAGAUGUGCCCAGAUGGGAUUAGCUAGUUGGUGAGGUAACGGCUCACCAAGGCGACGAUCCCUAGCUGGUCUGAGAGGAUGACCAGCCACACUGGAACUGAGACACGGUCCAGACUCCUACGGGAGGCAGCAGUGGGGAAUAUUGCACAAUGGGCGCAAGUCUGAUGCAGCCAUGCCGCGUGUAUGAAGAAGGCCUUCGGGUUGUAAAGUACUUUCAGCGGGGAGGAAGGUGUUGUGGUUAAUAACCACAGCAAUUGACGUUACCCGCAGAAGAAGCACC
rnacentral:rRNA from 1 species